AUUGAACGCUGGCGGCAGGCCUAACACAUGCAAGUCGAGCGGAUGAAGGGAGCUUGCUCCUGGAUUCAGCGGCGGACGGGUGAGUAAUGCCUAGGAAUCUGCCUGGUAGUGGGGGAUAACGUCCGGAAACGGGCGCUAAUACCGCAUACGUCCUGAGGGAGAAAGUGGGGGAUCUUCGGACCUCACGCUGUCAGAUGAGCCUAGGUCGGAUUAGCUAGUGGGUGGGGUAAAGGCCUACCAAGGCGACGAUCCGUAACUGGUCUGAGAGGAUGAUCAGUCACACUGGAACUGAGACACGGUCCAGACUCCUACGGGAGGCAGCAGUGGGGAAUAUUGGACAAUGGGCGAAAGCCUGAGCCAGCCAUGCCGCGUGUGUGAAGAAGGUCUUCGGAUUGGAAAGCACUUUAAGUUGGGAGGAAGGGCAGUAAGUUAAUACCGUGCUGUUUUGACGUUACCAACAGAAUAAGCACCGGCUAACUUCGUG
rnacentral:rRNA from 1 species